rnacentral:rRNA from 1 species
UCCAGACUCCUACGGGAGGCAGCAGUGGGGAAUAUUGCACAAUGGGGGAAACCCUGAUGCAGCGACGCCGCGUGAGUGAAGAAGUAUUUCGGUAUGUAAAGCUCUAUCAGCAGGGAAGAAAAUGACGGUACCUGACUAAGAAGCCCCGGCUAACUACGUGCCAGCAGCCGCGGUAAUACGUAGGGGGCAAGCGUUAUCCGGAUUUACUGGGUGUAAAGGGAGCGUAGACGGCAGCGCAAGUCUGGAGUGAAAUGCCGGGGCCCAACCCCGGAACUGCUCUGGAAACUGUGAAGCUGGAGUGCAGGAGAGGUAAGCGGAAUUCCUGGUGUAGCGGCGAAAUGCGUAGAUAUCAGGAGGAACACCGGCGGCGAAGGCGGCUUACUGGACUGUAACUGACGUUGAGGCUCGAAGGCGUGGGGAGCAAACAGGAUUAGAUACCCUAGUA